UACGGAGGGGGCGAGCGUUAUUCGGAAUUAUUGGGCGUAAAGGGCGCGUAGGCGGCCCGCUAAGUUAGAUGUGAAAACUCUGGGCUCAACCCAGAGCCUGCAUCUAAUACUGACGGGCUAGAGUUCUGGAGGGGGUAGCGGAAUUCCUGGUGUAGCGGUGAAAUGCGUAGAUAUCGGAAGGAACAUCAGUGGCGAAAGCGGCUUCCUGGUCCAGCACCGACGUUCAGGCACGAAAGCGUGGGGAGCAAACAGG
rnacentral:rRNA from 1 species